CGUUAUGUAUUUAGCAUGUAUUUAAAACAUAUUUUUGGCCAGAGAAAAUAAUUUUUUUGCCAUAUGGGAAGCUGCGACUGUUGAUUGUAUUAAUUUCCAGCGUUGCACUCUUGGAGUGCAUCAUCUUACUUAAAACACACUUUAUUUUUGGGUAUUUUUAGUGUGAUGACUACUUACACUAUUAUACUAGAAAAUAGCCUAGAAUAGUGCAUAAGUGUGCGAUUUGGGACACUCCUUUCAAGUCCUAUUGAAUAAUCAAAAUAUUGUGUUAUAAAGUUUCAGGAAAAAUGUUAAAAAAAGAGACUUCAUCCUAUUGACAAUAAAACCAGUGAUAUAGUAAAUUAUGUUUUAUUUUUAUAUUGUAUAUUGAUGUUGAGUGUUUCUGCAUUAAGUUCUAGAUGAGAGCUGAGUUGCCGUGACAACCGUGACGCAUCAUCAGUCAACAAAGAGCAGCACCAAACUCUCAACUCUCUCAACUCUUCUCUUUUAUUGUAAAAGGAGGAGACCGGUAUACCCGGAGUUAACCCACGCUGACACCGGAAGAACAUGCAAACCCCACACAGAAAGGCCAUCUGACCUUUUUUUGCUGCCCUGUUUGACUCUCAUUAUAAAGGAGGAGCUAUGGGGGUUGUACCAAGGUGGCUAAUUGAUGGCCUAAUUGGAGGCUGGAUAAAAUCAGUGCUCUCCAGUGCACUUGCGAGCAGACUCUCAGCAGCAGGCAUGAAAAUCCCUCACCUUUCGGCGCAAUUCGCCGUUUUGAAGCCAAAAAAGUUCUAGAUGAGAGUUGAGUUGCCGUGACAACCGUGACGCAUCAUCAGUAAACAAAGAGCAGCACAAAACUCUCAACUCUCUCAACUCUUCUCUUUUAUUGUAAAAGGAGGAGACCGGUAUACCCGGAGUAAACCCACGCUGACACCGGAAGAACAUGCAAACCCCACACAGAAAGGCCACCUGACUUAGCCGGGGCUCGAACCGGGGACCUUUUUUCUGCCCUGUUUGACUCUUAUUAUAAAGAAGGGGCUUUUGUUCAAGUGUAUGAUGAUGGAAAUGCUUUAAGUACAAAGAAGAAGCCUCAAGACAGAUAAACUCAUCAUCUUUCUAAGAACAUUAGUUGCUUUUUAUCAGCAUUUCUGGUCUUCUUCAAAACUGGACAUCUACUCUGAUAAAACUGUUUUGCCAAUAUUUGCAUUCAUUUAAAAUAUGUUGCUUAAAGACAUGUGUAAGAUUGUAAAGCUGAGUAACACUGUGUUAUGAGGGUUUAAGGUGCUUGAUGUUUCAUAUAAAUAAUACUAAGCAAAGAAAUUGUUCUUUUUGUUUUGGCUGCCUUAAUUUACCCAGUGAUCUUGUCAUCAUUUAUGUGGACCCCCCCCCAAUUCAGAUAUAUAAUUAACUUUGUUGUUUUUUUUAAGUUUGAACAGAGUUAUUAUACAACUAUUAUAAACGCUAUAUCAGAUUGUUUUUUACAUGUAUCCUUAUACAGAAUGUCUAUUUUAUAUUUAUGUUUGAGUAUUGUUGGGUUUGAAUAUUGUUGUAAUGUUGUUAAUGUUUUGUUUCAAUUCAAUUAGCCUAUUACGAAAGACAGACUGUAAUUUUAAACGCGUUGUAAUGGAUUGAAGGUCACCAUGAUAGGAGAAAUAGAGAGGGUCAGACAUAAUUUUCAAGUUUAAUUUAAGUUUAGUUUGCUAAUUUCAUUUCAUAUAAUUUGUCUCUUAAUUUUAAUCAAUGUUUUGUUGAUAAGUUUUGUGAAAAUAAAUAAAUAAAAACAUUAAUAGAAACCCCGUGCAACUUAUUGAUGUGUUACAAAUACAAAUGUUGUAGGGGGGUGCUAGAACAAUAUAAGACUUUCACAAACACAUUUUUGAAGGUUUAAAAAUAUUGUUUGGUAUU